ACAAUUGCAGAAAAUUGUAACAUGUUUUUAGAGUAUAAGGGAGUGCUUAAAAAACAUCAAAGCAUCUUUUCAGUUGCUGUUUAAAACCACUCUUGUUUCUCAGUUUUUAAACACUAUCACUCAGCACUGGUUUUGCUUCCUAAUGUUGAUUUGCUUUCAGCUGAGCUUUUGUUUCACAAACUUUGUGAAACACACCUGCUUAAACACUUUGGCAAUAUGAAGCAAAUCUGAAAAUGGCUCAGCAUCUAUUAUUUCAUAACUGAAACCCAGUCAGGUUUCUUUUGUAUUUUAGUAUGAUACUGUAAGCCACACAGGAAACCUACCUUCAUUUCUAUAGUGACAUAUUCUAGAAUAUUUGGUCAGAUAUUAUCAACUAUAUAAUAUAUUAAAAUUACUCAGUGUUGGCGCUACUCCUAAAUACAAGCCCAUUGACAUGCAGUAUAGCUCUAUUUGGAUAUUAAGAGAGUAUAAAAUGAGUUUCAUUUUCUGCCAGAUGACAAACAAAGUAACCAUCAAAGCAGGUGAAAUAAUAAUAAUUAUAAAAUGAAAAAAGACAGUGUGAAAUUUCCGGAAAUAGCUUCUUUAUUUAUUUACAAAAAGAUUAGGUCAUCAGGUGAAUCUUUUAUGACAAAUGUGUUCCUGUUCCUACUGAAUCAAUGACAAAGUUUUAUUGACUUCACUGGCAGCAUAAGCUGUUCCUGUUAGGCAAUAAAAAUAUAAACCCUGACUCUGCCUUCAUGGACAUCAGUAGAAGGUUGUAUUAACCCUACCCAAGUCUAAUUAGCAUUUGACUAUUGCAUUCCCUCCAGGUGGGUCUGACUCCAUCUGAACAAAGUAGAAUUGUUCACAAUGAAGAGACAAAAGUAUUUCUGCUUACAGACCCAUGUUCAAAGACAUGAGUUAAUGAAACAAAUCUCAGUAAAUCUACUGAUAAGCAGACCAUUCAGCCUCUAUCAUCAGCAUCACCAGAUGUAUUUCAGUGGAAAUACACUGCUUUUCACCAAUAGUGCUCUGGCAGACUACACAAUUUUCUUAGGUUAAGGGGAAGCUUAGACAUCAGGAAGUCUAAAAACUUACUGGUCUCAGAGGCAAACACAUCCCCUUGCUCCCCACCCUUCUCCCCAGUACAAUUUCCCCCAGCAUUUGUAAAAUGGCAUUUUUCAGAAACCUUUUCACAGGCUUCCCAAGCCUCAAAAGGCUCAUUGAAAAGCCAUAGUUUGAAGGAAAGUCCUUUUAUGAAUUAUUAAAUGGUUAGAGGAUGAAAAGCAAAGCUGGGAACUACUGAUCAUUUUUCACAAUUAAAGGAAGUUGCAAGAGGAAGGCAGGGGAAGGAGACUGUGCCAGGUCCUGCAUUGUCCAACACACUGACAAAUGGGCUGGAAGAGAUGGUGGACAGCCAACGUGGCUGAUUAGACAAAGUUGUUUCCAAUAGUCAAAACCAAAAAGCUGCCUGAGAAGGUAGCACAGGGAUCUCACAUUAUCAACUGACUGGGCAGCAAAAUGGCAGAGAAAAUACAUAGCUAAUAAAUACAAAACAGUGCAUUUGAGAAAAAUACAGCCCUAAUCAAUGCAAACAGUUCUGAAUGAGCAGUUGUCACUCAAGGAGAGUUCUUGGCAUCACUGUAAAUGUUAACAUAAAAACACCAGCUUAACAUUCAGACCAGGGACUGGGUGUGCACUUGGCUCACAAACCUGACCUGCUGGUUGCCAAAAACUGGAAAAUAUGAAAAGGGAAGGGACCCUUUGUACUCACCCUGUCUCCCAUAGAUGCCCACUACUUGCCACUGUUGUGAGAAGAUGUGAAGCUGUAUGAAUCUUUGCUAUGACCUAAACCAGCUCUUUUACAUCCUAGGUAAAAUGAAGUGUCCAAGAGAGUAGAUCUAACCUGCAGUCCCAAAGGAAAGUGAAACUAUAGAGAAGCGUACAACCUGAGAAUCGAUGUCUCAAGUUGUUUAUGUAACCAAGUCCCAGACAAAGCACCAAAGGGUCAGAACAAACAAAGCCUCAGAAGAGACCACAAGGAGACCUGAACUAACCCCUGACAGGUUAAAAGCUUGCUAGGUGCUGCUGGUGCUUCAGCAAAGGGGAUGACUGAGACUCCAAAAUACCACAAUAAAACAUCAGAGAAACACUUAAAAAGCUCAGAGACAGGUGUGAGCAACAUGUCCUGUAACUGCAAGGUGUCCAGUAGGUACAGAGACAUAUUUCAGCUUAGUGAACAGAGUGUAUACAAGUGUCUACAUGGUACAACCCAGUUGCCAGCUGGACUUAAACCACAAGAACAAGGAAGACAGUAUCGGCAAUUCCAGCAGUUUUUCCCUUGGACAGACACUUGUUGAAAAGAAAAUCAAUAAACUGUCAACCUGAAAGCAAAUGAGACUCAUUGCACACUAGUAAUUCUCUUCUGUGACAUAAAUUUCCUGAUGACUGUUAUACUGGACAAGGCAUAUGGCAGAUUAUGAUGUCUGAAAAUGUCUUUAGUGUAAUGACCCUGAAUUUACACCCUGUGCAGUGGAGCACAGGUUUACAUACCAACAUCAGAUGUUAAUCUGUACUUAACCAGGCCUUAUCAGUGGAAUAGUUUGUUAGCAGUUGAUACUUUGCUCAGCAGGCACAGUGCUCAGCAGAUGAUGGUAGAAGAAUGGGAAUUUGCAGAAGUAUGGCGAGACAGAUACAGAAAUGAACAGUAGAAUAUGAAGUCCUGGCAUUGUUACUGCUUCCUGAGCUUGAGAUGGUUCACAUCCCCAGAAGUACUAAACAGCUGCUGAGAACAGUUGCUAUCAUACUGAUCCAGAAUGUCUCAGGUGACCAUAUACUUAGAGAGAAAACACAUUUUUUUAUUAUAAUUUGCAGAAGACAGGCAAGGGGCACUGGGUCUGCUACUUAACCUGAGAACAUCUUAAUGUUUUAUACUGAUACACCCCAAGAGGCAUGUUUCUUGCCUAAAAGUGGGCUCUGGCCUCUGCUCCCCACUCAUCUCCCAUUCUCAGCUGCCCCACAGAACACUCACAGACAGCACACUGAAGUGUCCUGCUUGUGCAGAAUCACAGAUGCACUGGAGACGUCCUGUCAGACUUUCUAGGUAAGCAGGUAGCUUGGAAGCAACUUUGGAGGGGCUCUGCUCUCACGAUCAGGUAGAUAAUUACAACAGGCCAAAAUAACCAAACCAAGUGAAAACUCUGCAAGAAAAAGCAAGUUGCUAACUCUGGAUAGUAUUUUAUCAGGAGUGAGCCACCAGUACAAGCAACAAUGCAAGGGCUUCAGGAGUAACUGAGUGUACUUGAAGAAUGUAGUGAAUGUGUUGGAAAUGUAAGUAUUUGGACUGCAGUUUUCAUAAGCAGUGUUUAAGGGCUACUAUCUUACAUCUUGGCCAAGAAAACAAAAUAUGUAAUCAAGAACUGUAGCUUUAACAGUUUUCAGUUUUCCAAACACAGGGCAUUUUAAGACAUAUCCCUUUAAGCAGAAGCUAUUGGGAAAAUGUCAUCAAAAUAAAGAUCUCUACCCAUUGUUUUGGCAGGAGGCAGGCAGUGAUUACCGAAAACCACAGUCUAUGCUGAGUACCAUGAUGGUGGAAGGAUGGCGAACUACCUCUUGGCUCUGACCACACCUUCUUCUGCAUAGAAGUUGAUUCAAAGAUUCCUGCUGGCUUUGGUGGGUCACAUCCUAAUGGCUCUCAGCUGGUAGCAUCUCAGUGAUGUUCACCAAGUUCCAAUGCGAACUUCAAAAUUGACCUCUUUCUACUCUGAAGAGUUUUCAUGGACCAUGUAAGCGAAGUCCAAUGGAUACUAUGGUCUACAGGUCCUGUAGAGAGAUGUUGGGAAGGCUGUGUCCCUUUAGGGACAUGAACUGGAUAGAGAAGCUGAGUUACGUGGAAGUGGAUUGCUGAGUCCAGAUUUCCAGCUUAUUGCCCGUAAGGCCUUCCGGUUAUAUGGUCCUCAUAGCACAACACAGAUCCAUGCAGUUAUCAGGGAUAUUAUUUAUUGUUUACCCUUUUUUCUCACAAAAAAGAAACUACUUGCCAAAGUUGUUGACAAGGAAUUCUAUCACUUUGGGGACAUGAUGUGUUUAGUAGUUAUUACUGCAAGCUAUGAUUCAUACCAUUUGGACCUCAGUUCUAUUUUGCACAGCAUGAGAAUAAAGUAAAUUACAUUCUGGA